rnacentral:rRNA from 1 species
AAUCAACGCUGGCGGCGUGCCUAACACAUGCAAGUCGAGCGCGAAAGGGGGCGAACUCCCGAGUAGAGCGGCGAACGGGUGAGUAACGCGUGGGUAAGUCUACCUCCGAGUGGGGAAGUAACAGCGGGAAACUGCUGCUAAUACCGCAUGACAUCGUCGGGUCGAUGAUCUGACGAUCAAAGCCGGGGACCGCAAGGCCUGGCGCUUGGAGAGGAGCCCGCGUCCGAUUAGCUAGUUGGCGGGGUAACGGCCCACCAA